UAUGUAGGCGGAAUGGUAAGCGUGUUGUGAAAUCCCUCAGCUUAACUGAGGAAUUGCUUGGCGAACUGCCAUUCUUGAGGCAAGUAGGGGUGCAUGGAACUCUUGGUGGAGCGGUGGAAUGCGUAGAUAUCAAGAGGAACGCCGAUGGUGAAAACAAUGCACUGGGCUUGUCCUGACGCUGAGAUACGAAAGCGUGGGGAGCGAACAGGAUUAGAUACCCUGGUAGUCC
rnacentral:rRNA from 1 species